ACGAAGGGGGCUAGCGUUGCUCGGAAUCACUGGGCGUAAAGGGCGCGUAGGCGGCCGAUUAAGUCGGGGGUGAAAGCCUGUGGCUCAACCACAGAAUUGCCUUCGAUACUGGUUGGCUUGAGACCGGAAGAGGACAGCGGAACUGCGAGUGUAGAGGUGAAAUUCGUAGAUAUUCGCAAGAACACCAGUGGCGAAGGCGGCUGUCUGGUCCGGUUCUGACGCUGAGGCGCGAAAGCGUGGGGAGCAAACAG
rnacentral:rRNA from 1 species